CCUACGGGAGGCAGCAGUAGGGAAUCUUCCACAAUGGACGAAAGUCUGAUGGAGCAAUGCCGCGUGAGUGAAGAAGGUUUUCGGAUCGUAAAACUCUGUUGUGAGGGAAGAACAAGUAUGAGAGUAACUGCUCGUACCUGACGGUACCUCGAGAGAGC
rnacentral:rRNA from 1 species